CAUGCAAGUCGAGCGGAUGAAGGGAGCUUGCUCCUGGAUUCAGCGGCGGACGGGUGAGUAAUGCCUAGGAAUCUGCCUGGUAGUGGGGGAUAACGUCCGGAAACGGGCGCUAAUACCGCAUACGUCCUGAGGGAGAAAGUGGGGGAUCUUCGGACCUCACGCUAUCAGAUGAGCCUAGGUCGGAUUAGCUAGUUGGUGGGGUAAAGGCCUACCAAGGCGACGAUCCGUAACUGGUCUGAGAGGAUGAUCAGUCACACUGGAACUGAGACACGGUCCAGACUCCUACGGGAGGCAGCAGUGGGGAAUAUUGGACAAUGGGCGAAAGCCUGAUCCAGCCAUGCCGCGUGUGUGAAGAAGGUCUUCGGAUUGUAAAGCACUUUAAGUUGGGAGGAAGGGCAGUAAGUUAAUACCUUGCUGUUUUGACGUUACCAACAGAAUAAGCACCGGCUAACUUCGUGCCAGCAGCCGCGGUAAUACGAAGGGUGCAAGCGUUAAUCGGAAUUACUGGGCGUAAAGCGCGCGUAGGUGGUUCAGCAAGUUGGAUGUGAAAUCCCCGGGCUCAACCUGGGAACUGCAUCCAAAACUACUGAGCUAGAGUACGGUAGAGGGUGGUGGAAUUUCCUGUGUAGCGGUGAAAUGCGUAGAUAUAGGAAGGAACACCAGUGGCGAAGGCGACCACCUGGACUGAUACUGACACUGAGGUGCGAAAGCGUGGGCCGCAAAAAGGAUUAGAUACCUGGGUAGUCCACGCCGUAAACGAUGUCGACGAGCGUUGGGAUCCUUGAGAUCUUAGUGGCGCAGCUAACGCGAUAAGUCGACCGCCUGGGGAGUACGGCCGCAAGGUUAAAACUCAAAUGAAUUGACGGGGGCCCGCACAAGCGGUGGAGCAUGUGGUUUAAUUCGAAGCAACGCGAAGAACCUUACCUGGCCUUGACAUGCUGAGAACUUUCCAGAGAUGGAUUGGUGCCUUCGGGAACUCAGACACAGGUGCUGCAUGGCUGUCGUCAGCUCGUGUCGUGAGAUGUUGGGUUAAGUCCCGUAACGAGCGCAACCCUUGUCCUUAGUUACCAGCACCUCGGGUGGGCACUCUAAGGAGACUGCCGGUGACAAACCGGAGGAAGGUGGGGAUGACGUCAAGUCAUCAUGGCCCUUACGGCCAGGGCUACACACGUGCUACAAUGGUCGGUACAAAGGGUUGCCAAGCCGCGAGGUGGAGCUAAUCCCAUAAAACCGAUCGUAGUCCGGAUCGCAGUCUGCAACUCGACUGCGUGAAGUCGGAAUCGCUAGUAAUCGUGAAUCAGAAUGUCACGGUGAAUACGUUCCCGGGCCUUGUACACACCGCCCGUCACACCAUGGGAGUGGGUUGCUCCAGAAGUAGCUAGUCUAACCGCAAGGGGGACGGUUACCACGGAGUGAUUCAUGACUGGGGUGAAGUCGUAACAAGGU
rnacentral:rRNA from 1 species